rnacentral:rRNA from 1 species
GACGUAGGGCGCGAGCGUUGUCCGGAUUUAUUGGGCGUAAAGAGCGUGUAGGCGGCUUGGUAGGUCUCGCGUCAAAACCUGCGGCUCAACCGCAGUUCGCGUGGGAAACCACCUAGCUAGAGGCCGGAAGAGGAGAACGGAAUUCCCAGUGUAGCGGUGAAAUGCGCAGAUAUUGGGAAGAACACCAGUGGCGAAGGCGGUUCUCUGGGACGGUACUGACGCUGAGACGCGAAAGCGUGGGGAGCGAACAGG